rnacentral:lncRNA from 1 species
CCGGCAAUGACACCGCCGACGCGAGUUGCGUCCCGGGCGUUGAUGCAUCCUCCAGGCGCUUUAUGAACAAGCCUCCGCCAGAAACCCAAGCCAUCCGCCAGAAACCCCGGGCCUUCUCACCGUCGGCAGGCGGGUUAGGACCGCCCGGGACUCCAUCUACUCGACCCUUCUCAAGAUCCACCACAUUUUGUUGAGGACGCGUCCGAUCUUUCUUUGCAUCCGGUUUACCGCUCGCUCGCCGAUCUUGAUGUCUCCGGUCACUUAGGGUAUAUCGAGGAUCUGGAUCUGAGCUGUCGCCGCCGACUCCAUCUCCGUCCCGGUCACCUUUCUCAAGAUCCAAGGGUUGUUGUUGACGACGCCUCCGGUUACGGCGGUGAUGAUCAAGAUCGGUACCGGAGCUCUCGCUGUCGCUGUCGCACGGAUCGUAAUGCCUGAAAGAAUGAUCAUCGACCGUGGGUCUGAUGAUGUUUGCGGAAGCUGACUGAGGCGCGCUACAGACAUGGGAUUUGUGAGCUCUUCUGUCUAACCAGAAUAGACAGUGCGGGCAACGCUCGGCACCGCCGGCGGGUUCAUGGUUUCAAGGACUUAGGUUAAGCGGUGAAGUAUGGACUCUCGGGGUUUGGAGGACUCUCGGGGUGAGGGGUUUGGACUAGGGGCUUAUGUUUUUUGGUUUGUGAGAAUCACUGAGCG